GGCUGUGUACCUCAGUGGGCAAGGGUAUGGACUUUGAAGCCAGACUAUUUGGGUUCAAAUCCCAGCUUGGCCU
rfam:Gorilla gorilla gorilla genomic chromosome, chr2A, whole genome shotgun sequence